GACGAACGCUGGCGGCGUGCUUAGCACAUGCAAGUCGAGCGGUAAGGCCCUUUCGGGGGUACACGAGCGGCGAACGGGUGAGUAACACGUGGGUGACCUGCCCUCAGCUCUGGGAUAAGCCUGGGAAACCGGGUCUAAUACCGGAUAUGACUCCAUGACGCAUGUUGUGGGGUGGAAAGCCUUGUGCGGCUGAGGAUGGGCCCGCGGCCUAUCAGCUUGUUGGUGGGGUGANGGCCACCAAGGCGACGACGGGUAGCCGGCCUGAGAGGGCGACCGGCCACACUGGGACUGAGACACGGCCCAGACUCCUACGGGAGGCAGCAGUGGGGAAUCUUGCGCAAUGGGCGAAAGCCUGACGCAGCGACGCCGCGUGAGGGAUGACGGCCUCGG
rnacentral:rRNA from 1 species